GAUGAAGAACGCAGCGAAAUGCGAUAAGUAAUGCGAAUUGCAGAAUUCCAGUGAGUCAUCGAAUCUUUGAACGCACAUUGCGCCCUUUGGUAUUCCGAAGGGCAUGCCUGUUCGAGCGUCAUUAUCACCCCUCAAGCCCUCGGCUUGGUGUUGGACGGUUUGGUGGAGGCCCCCUCGGGGGUUCCUGCCCCUCCCAAAGACAAUGACGGCGGCCUCGUUGGACCCCCGGUACACUGAGUUCUUCACGGGACACGUAUCGGACACAUGGGUUUACGGGACACGGUCUGCCUCCCCUCAGGGAGAAUCUUUCUAAGGUUGACCUCGGAUCAGGUAGGGAUACCCGCUGAACUUAUGCAUAUCAAUAAGCGGAGGA
rnacentral:misc_RNA from 1 species